rnacentral:rRNA from 1 species
AGAGUUUGAUCCUGGCUCAGGACGAACGCUGGCGGCGUGCUUAACACAUGCAAGUCGAACGGGAGGAAAAGAGAAGCUUGCUUCUUUUUGAAUCUAGUGGCAAACGGGUGAGUAACACGUAAACAACCUGCCUUCAGGAUGGGGACAACAGACGGAAACGACUGCUAAUACCGAAUGUGUUCCGGAGACCGCAUGAUUUCCGGAAGAAAGGAUGGCCUCUAUUUAUAAGCUAUCGCCUGAAGAGGGGUUUGCGUCUGAUUAGGCAGUUGGUGAGGUAACGGCCCACCAAACCUACGAUCAGUAGCCGGUCUGAGAGGAUGAACGGCCACACUGGAACUGAGACACGGUCCAGACUCCUACGGGAGGCAGCAGUGGGGAAUCUUCCGCAAUGGACGAAAGUCUGACGGAGCAACGCCGCGUGAGUGAUGAAGGUCUUCGGAUUGUAAAACUCUGUUGUUAGGGACGAAAGCACCGUGUUCGAACAGGUCAUGGUGUUGACGGUACCUAACGAGGAAGCCACGGCUAACUACGUGCCAGCAGCCGCGGUAAUACGUAGGUGGCAAGCGUUGUCCGGAAUUAUUGGGCGUAAAGAGCAUGUAGGCGGGCUUUUAAGUCUGACGUGAAAAUGCGGGGCUUAACCCCGUAUGGCGUUGGAUACUGGAAGUCUUGAGUGCAGGAGAGGAAAGGGGAAUUCCCAGUGUAGCGGUGAAAUGCGUAGAUAUUGGGAGGAACACCAGUGGCGAAGGCGCCUUUCUGGACUGUGUCUGACGCUGAGAUGCGAAAGCCAGGGUAGCAAACGGGAUUAGAUACCCCGGUAGUCCUGGCCGUAAACGAUGGAUACUAGGUGUAGGAGGUAUCGACCCCUUCUGUGCCGGAGUUAACGCAAUAAGUAUCCCGCCUGGGGACUACGAUCGCAAGAUUGAAACUCAAAGGAAUUGACGGGGGCCCGCACAAGCGGUGGAGUAUGUGGUUUAAUUCGAAGCAACGCGAAGAACCUUACCAGGGCUUGACAUCCCACUAACGAGGCAGAGAUGCGUUAGGUGCCCUUCGGGGAAAGUGGAGACAGGUGGUGCAUGGUUGUCGUCAGCUCGUGUCGUGAGAUGUUGGGUUAAGUCCCGCAACGAGCGCAACCCCUAUCUUUAGUAGCCAGCGGCCAGGCCGGGCACUCUAGAGAGACUGCCGGGGAUAACCCGGAGGAAGGUGGGGAUGACGUCAAAUCAUCAUGCCCCUUAUGAGCAGGGCUACACACGUGCUACAAUGGCGUAAACAAAGGGAAGCGAGACCGCGAGGUGGAGCAAAUCCCAAAAAUAACGUCUCAGUUCGGAUUGUAGUCUGCAACUCGACUACAUGAAGCUGG